AUUCAUUUACCCAAGGAUAAAAACCUCAAAAUUUCUAGAGUUUGAAUUUAGGAUGUGUAACUUGUCAUAUCUCAUGGUUGAAUGGACAUGUUUUUUUUUAUGGAAAAUAUAAAAGCAGUUUGAUCUUUAGCCAAGUAGAGUCGGGAAAUAUUACUGUAUUUGCAUUUAUGAAGAACCACUGACAACCCAAUUUCUUGGCAUCUAGUUUCUGUUCUGUCAUGGUAAAUAGUGCUUAAUUGUGCAAUUUGCAGGUGAUGUUCCUUCAAUUGUCUAAACUCUAUAGGGAACAUCUGCAUUUUGCAGUCUUACAUUGGUCUUUCAAAAGUAUGAAAUCAACAUUCGUUGUGGAAAUGUUCUUGAAAUGGCUUGAUGUUUCUGAACUUUUUGACGUAAUUGAGAUGUGUAAAAAGAAUACGA
rnacentral:misc_RNA from 1 species